rnacentral:rRNA from 1 species
CCUACGGGAGGCUGCAGUGGGGAAUAUUGGACAAUGGGGGCAACCCUGAUCCAGCCAUGCCGCGUGUGUGAAGAAGGCCCUCGGGUUGUAAAGCACUUUCAGUGAGGAAGAACGCCUGGUGGUUAAUACCCAUCAGGAAAGACAUCACUCACAGAAGAAGCACCGGCUAACUCCGUGCCAGCAGCCGCGGUAAUACGGAGGGUGCGAGCGUUAAUCGGAAUUACUGGGCGUAAAGCGCGCGUAGGUGGCUUGAUAAGCCGGUUGUGAAAGCCACGGGCUCAACCUGGGAACGGCAUCCGGAACUGUCAAGCUAGAGUGCAGGAGAGGAAGGUAGAAUUCCCGGUGUAGCGGUGAAAUGCGUAGAGAUCGGGAGGAAUACCAGUGGCGAAGGCGGCCUUAUGGACUGACACUGACACUGAGGUGCGAAAGCGUGGGUAGCAAACAGGAUUAGAUACCCCAGUAGUC